rnacentral:rRNA from 1 species
AUGCAUGAAAAUGGAGAAGUGAGGACCUACAGGUGGAAGAAUGAGCCGCCGAAAUCAGGCUACCUCUAUCGAGGAGCAAGACGACCUGCUGGGCUGUCUUGCUCGGGGACAACCACGAUACGAUGUGGAUCCAAGCUCGCUGUAGCAGACGAGAUCCACACCCAUGUCGCCUCGAAGGACGGCGACGACAACGGCACUGUCAAGAUCGACAAGCUCGCCUCCUCCAUUGUGCAGCUUCUCGUCGAGCCCUGCUACCCCUCCGCCGCCGUUGACCAGCAUAAGAGAUUGAGGAGGCAUACAUCGGGGAAAAACCAGGCGCCGUAG